AAGGGCCUACCACAGUGCCUGGCGCACAGUGCGCCUUAGCCGGUGUCAGCAACAUCCGGGAACUCUGUGCUGCUGCUUCUCCUUCGUUCUCGCGAGGGUUCUCGUGAGGGUUGUUGUUGGAAAGCAUGGAAGCACUCCGGACCAGUUCAAGCAAGCCAUGGCGGGGCAUGUUUGGGAGUUAGUGUGAGUCUCCAGGGGUCUUAGAGAAACUAAAAACAGGACAGCAUCCAUAAACAACCACACGUCCUGCAGCAGUAGAGUGGACACACACAUUGCAGCAUAAUAAUACAAUGGAAGAGUAGCCAGCAGGGGAGAAAACGUGAACUCUGGCGUGCCACGGCAUGGAUAAAUGGCCAAUGGAUAAAGAUUGAAUAAAGAAAGCCAGACAACAAACACCACACAUGAUCAGGCAGGAGUCCUGGCAAGCCUCCAUUGGUCCCAAGUCUGUCACAGCAACUGCUUAUGGACUGGUCAGGACUGGGUUUUGUGCCCACCUCUGGACAGAGAGCAGAUGUUCCCCAGCAUGGAUGCUUGCUUCCUCCAAGCCUGCAAGGGAUGUAGAGGCUGCAGCAGCAUCUGAUGUACGGACCUCAUAAUCAAGCCAGGGAGGCAGACGCGAACAGACCAUUGGAACAUGAAGUGGUGAACGCAGCACCAGAGGAAAGCAGAGGGACCAGAGUGAUGGACCAUGGACACGGGAAGCAGAAAUCAAAGCCGGAGGAUGGGAGAAAGAUCUAAGACCAACGGCUCAACUGUGGAACACUCAGAUCCUAGAAGGCUCCGAAGACACGACAGUAAAAGGGGGAAAUGCACUGAAAGUGCAGAUCCGGAUGUCAGGAGGACGCAGGAAAGUGCCCAACCUCGCACACGGAGAAACCAGUCCAGACCAGUGUCUCUCUUUUUCCUAACAUGUCCUGUCUGCCUAAGUAUGCAUCCCUAAACGAUAGACUAUUGUA